UACAGAGGUCCCGAGCGUUGUUCGGAUUCACUGGGCGUAAAGGGUGCGUAGGUGGGUUGGUAAGUCAGUGGUGAAAUCCCCGAGCUUAACUUGGGAACUGCCAUUGAUACUAUCAGUCUUGAAUACCGUGGAGGUCAGCGGAAUAUGUCAUGUAGCGGUGAAAUGCUUAGAUAUGACAUAGAACACCAAUUGCGAAGGCAGCUGGCUACACGAGUAUUGACACUGAGGCACGAAAGCGUGGGGAUCAAACAGG
rnacentral:rRNA from 1 species